CGUACACUCCUGCGGGAGGCAGCAGUAGGGAAUCUUCCACAAUGGGUGCAAACCUGAUGGAGCAAUGCCGCGUGAGUGAAGAAGGUCUUCGGAUCGUAAAGCUCUGUUGUUAGAGAAGAACACGUGCUAGGUAACUACUAGCGCCUUGACGGUAUCUAACCAGAAAGUCACGGCUAACUACGUGCCAGCAGCCGCGGUAAUACGUAGGUGACAAGCGUUGUCCGGAUUUAUUGGGCGUAAAGGGAGCGCAGGCGGUCUGUUUAGUCUAAUGUGAAAGCCCACGGCUUAACCGUGGAACGGCAUUGGAAACUGACAGACUUGAAUGUAGAAGAGGAAAAUGGAAUUCCAAGUGUAGCGGUGGAAUGCGUAGAUAUUUGGAGGAACACCAGUGGCGAAGGCGAUUUUCUGGUCUAACAUUGACGCUGAGGCUCGAAAGCGUGGGGAGCGAACAGGAUUAGAUACCCGGGUAGUCCCAUGA
rnacentral:rRNA from 1 species